UACGGGGGGGAGCAAGCGUUGUUCGGAUUUACUGGGCGUAAAGGGCGCGUAGGCGGCCACGACAAGUCACUUGUGAAAUCUCCGGGCUUAACUCGGAAAGGUCAAGUGAUACUGUCGGGCUAGAGUGCAGAAGGGGCAACUGGAAUUCUCGGUGUAGCGGUGAAAUGCGUAGAUAUCGAGAGGAACACCUGCGGCGAAGGCGAGUUGCUGGGCUGACACUGACGCUGAGGCGCGAAAGCCAGGGGAGCGAACGGG
rnacentral:rRNA from 1 species